rnacentral:lncRNA from 1 species
AGCUAGCACUAUCCAUAUGUUAUUUCUUUUUUUUUUCCACCUCCAAUGAAGGGCUUUUUUUUUUUUUUUGAUGGUUGCAUAUAUAUGGAUUCUAUUGGUAUUAAUUGAGUUUAGUCAAUGUUAGAAAUAUUUUUCAAAUAUGAAACAUGAAAUUUGUACUUGUGUUUUAUGGGAGGGUACUUGAUUGUGAGUUUUUUUAUUGAUUAAUUAUCCGUUUAACUUUAAAUGAAUUUAAUUAUUUUUCAUAUGUUUUUUUUUAAUAUAACCAGUCAUGUUUAUAUCUUACCAUUACUGAUAAAUGAUUUAAGUAGAACCAAGUUGAGUGAAUAUGAUUCUUGCUUAUUCAACUAUUUAUUUGAAAAUGUGGUUAAUGUUGUUUUUCA